rnacentral:rRNA from 1 species
AUUGAAAGCUGGCGGCAGGCCUAACACAUGCAAGUCGAACGAGUGGCGGAAGGGUGAGUAAUGUCUGGGAAACUGCCUGAUUGAGGGGGAUAACCACGGGAAACGGUAGCUAAAACCGCAUACCACCAGAUGUACACACAUGGGAUUAGCUAGUUGGUGGGGUAACGGCUCACCAAGGCGACGAUCCGUAGAUGUUCUGAGAGGAUGACCAGCGACACUGGAACGGAGACACGGUCCAGACUCCUAAGGGAAGCAGCAGUGGGGAAUAUUGCACAAUGGGCGCAAUCCUGAUGCAGCCAUGCCGCGUGUAUGAAGAAGGCCUUCGGUGUGUAAAGUAAUUUCAGCGAGGAGGCGUUACCCGCAGAAUAAGCACCGGCUAACUCCGUGCCAGCAGCCGCGGUAAUAC